CGCCCGCGCCGGGGCCGCGCAGGCAGCGAGGCGCGCCGAGGAGGCGACUCUGGCCCAGGUCGUCGCAGCAGCACAGGAGGCUGUAGCACAGACACUGACAGAUCUAGCCCCCACCCGGUCUUCCUAAGAUCUUCUCAACGACGAGAGGGAUCCUUCUGUGGAAAGCCCUCUGUGGCUUCUCAGCUUAUCCAGAGAGGAUCCACCCCAGGGGCCAAAGAAUUGUCAACGUGCACCCGAUGCCUCCGACUACCAAGCUUUUGGCGAUCCUCUCCAGCGGCGGUUCCUGUUUCCAGUGUUCGGUUGAAGUUUCUCGGCUCUGUGGUGCCAGUGGUAUUGUAAGCAGUGCAAUCUGUGCGACAGAGGGCUUCUGAAAGAACCUUGAACUUCUCCAACACGAAGCACUCGGGUGGUGGCUCUUGAGCUAAUCUCUGUGUGCCAAAGCGGCCGCCCCUGCAAGUCUGCGUCUUCAGCUCUGACAGCUCUCACAUGUGGCCCCUGCAGGCAGCGAG